rnacentral:lncRNA from 1 species
GCGGGAAUCUUCUUACGGUCCUUCAAGUAGGUGGGGCCACGGAUCUGGCAGGAGGGGGAGCCGGAAGGCAGGUGGCAGGAGGGGGAGCCGGAAGGCAGGUGGCAGGAGGGGGAGCCGGAAGGCAGGUGGCAAGAGGGGGAGCCGGAAGGCAGGUGGCAGGAGGGGGAGCCGGAAGGCAGGUGGCAGGAGGGGGAGCCGGAGGAAGAGACACGGGAGGGUCGUGAGGUCGUGGGAUGGAGGGGAGCAGGAGGAUGCGCAACUCUUAUGCAAAAAGCAGGAAAUCCAAGGGGUAAUAAUGACGUUCACGGCCUUUACGGUCAUUUUUAGGAGGGGGGAGGGGACAUGUGUGGACAGUGGGUUGAGACGGAAAACCGCAAAGCCCCACAUCCCCCCACCUCCACCCCCAUCCACAUCCACAUCCAACCAUGGAAAGAAGAACGUUCGAUGUGAAACAGUCUUCACAUACACAC